rnacentral:tRNA from 2 species
CGGGAAGUGGCUCAACUUGGUAGAGCACCUGGUUUGGGACCAGGUGGUUGCAGGUUCAAAUCCUGUCUUCCCGACCA